GGGAGUAGUUUGUGUGUGUGCAUGUGCAUGUGCACAUAUGAGUGUAGUUGGACACUAUGCAGA
rnacentral:miRNA from 1 species